CUGCUAUCGCUUUUAGAUGGACCCGCGGCGUAUUAACUAGUUGGUGGGGUAACGGCCUACCAAGGUGAUGAUACGUAGCCGAACUGAGAGGUUGAUCGGCCACAUUGGGACUGAGACACGGCCCAAACUCCUACGGGAGGCAGCAGUAGGGAAUCUUCCACAAUGGACGCAAGUCUGAUGGAGCAACGCCGCGUGAGUGAAGAAGGUCUUCSGAUCGUAAAACUCUGUUGGUAGARAARAACACGAGUGAGAGUAACUGUUCAUUCGAUGACGGUAUCUAACCMGCMAGUCMCGGCUAACUACGUGCCAGCAGCCGCGGUAAUACGUAGGUGGCAAGCGUUGUCCGGAUUUAUUGGGCGUAAAG
rnacentral:rRNA from 2 species